rnacentral:rRNA from 1 species
GCCCAAAAUUAAGCCUAAUUAACCCUUAUGCCACACACCUCACAACAAAUUUAAAUAAAACAUUCUACCAGUUUAGUAAAGGCGAUUAAAAAACUUAUUAGCGCUUUAUUGUAAGUACCGCAAGGGAAAAAUGAAAUAGUUUUGAAAUAGUCUUUAAGCAAUAUACAGCAGAGAUUACUUCUCGUACCUUUUGCAUCAUGGUUUAGCUAGUCCCCAUCAAGCAAAUCGAAACAUCAGUUUGACCCCCCGAAACUAAGCGAGCUACUUUAAAACAGCUCAAUGGAGCCAACCCAUCUCUGUUGCAAAAGAGUGGGAUGAUUUUUAAGUAGAGGUGAAAAGCCUAACGAGCCUAGAGAUAGCUGGUUAUUCAGGAAAAGAAUUUUAGUUCGACCUUAAGUUUUAUUUUUACUUAUAAAAUACACCCAAACUUAAGAGCUAUUCAAAUAAGGCACAGCUUAUUUGAAAAAGGACACAACCUAUAAAAAUGGGUAAAACACCUUAUUGAAACCAAGUGGGCCUGAAAGCAGCCAUCUUUAAGAAAGCGUUAAAGCUCCCCUUCCUUCCCCUCAACAAUUCCCCCAAAUCUAUUAAACCCUUUAUCACUACUGAAUGAUUCUAUAACCUAUAGAAAUCCUGAUACUAAAACUAGUAACAAGAAAUUGCAUUUCUCCAAAAUAUAAGUAUAAGCCUAAAUGGACACGCCACCGGCAGUUAACGUCAAUAAAGCCACUUUAGUAACCUUGCAAGAAAAACCUAAACAUGCAUAAACGUUAACCUUACACAAGUAUAUUUCGGGAAAGAUUAAAAGAAAUGGAAGGAACUCGGCAAAUAUUAACCCCGCCUGUUUACCAAAAACAUCGCCUCUUGAUGAACUAUAAGAGGUCCAGCCUGCCCAGUGACAUAGUUAAACGGCCGCGGUACACUGACCGUGCAAAGGUAGCAUAAUCACUUGUUCUUUAAAUAAGGACUUGUAUCAACGGCAUCACGAGGGUUCUACUGUCUCCCCUUUCUAAUCAGUGAAACUGACUUCCCCGUGAAGAGGCGGGGAUGUGACUACAAGACGAGAAGACCCCAUGGAGCUUUAAACCCACUUACAACCUCAUCUAAAUAUUACCACAUAAAUGAAAGUACUGUACAGUGGUUUUAGGUUGGGGUGACCACGGAGUAAAACCAAACCUCCAUGACGAACGGAUAAAUCAUCCUAAUCCAUGAGCUACCGCUCUAAGAAUCAAAAAAUUGACAUAUAUGAUCCGGUAACCGAUCAACGAACCAAGUUACCCUGGGGAUAACAGCGCAAUCCAUUUCAAGAGCCCCUAUCGACAAAUGGG